rnacentral:rRNA from 2 species
CCUACGGGCGGCUGCAGUGGGGAAUCUUGGACAAUGGGCGCAAGCCUGAUCCAGCCAUGCCGCGUGAGUGAAGAAGGCCUUAGGGUUGUAAAGCUCUUUUGCCAGGGACGAUAAUGACGGUACCUGGAGAAUAAGCCCCGGCAAACUUCGUGCCAGCAGCCGCGGUAAUACGAAGGGGGCUAGCGUUGUUCGGAAUUACUGGGCGUAAAGCGCACGUAGGCGGGUUGUUAAGUCAGGGGUGAAAUCCCGGAGCUCAACUCCGGAACUGCCUUUGAUACUGGCAACCUAGAGGCUGGAAGAGGUUAGUGGAAUUCCCAGUGUAGAGGUGAAAUUCGUAGAUAUUGGGAAGAACACCAGUGGCGAAGGCGGCUAACUGGUCCAGUACUGACGCUGAGGUGCGAAAGCGUGGGGAGCAAACAGGAUUAGAUACCCCAGUAGUCC